rnacentral:lncRNA from 1 species
UUGACAGUAACAUGUGUUCAUUGAAAUAAUAUGAGAAGAUACAGAAAAUAAAUCAAAUUCUACUUGGUAAAGAGAACUGGAGCAGAUUUUUCAAAAUGCUGUUAGACUUUCUAAAUAGAAAUCCCUAUGUGUGAGAGAGAAAUAGUCCUUAUGCGUGGCCCAUGUUGUCACAUUCAUCGAGCCUGGAAAUCUAGCAAGGUUUGUGCCAUCCAGGGCCUGAGUGGGUGGGGCACAGGAAAUCAGUAGUCCCUAUGGAUUCUCCUUUUUCUCUUGCUUUAUCCUCUCUCAGUUUUGGGCUGCAUGUUCUAAGUCCAUAGUGGCCAGUACUCUAAAGGUGUUUCUUCUUUUUCCCAGAUGCCAGACAGGAGCAGUCUUCCCUGCUGUGGUCCUAUGACCAGUCUUAUCCAUCCUACCUGAGCCAGAGGACAUUCCCGUCAAUUCACUCCACCACCCCGCUGUCUUCCACGGGGGGCAUGGGGUUUCCUGCCAUCACCGACGUGCCCAGGUGCAUUUCAGGGAUGACAUCAGUGACCACAUCUGUCUACCUGGAGAGGAAGAAAAUAUUCCAGAUUGCUGAAGCCUGGUUUUCCACACUACAGAUGACAGGACAUGCCCUCCAACCUGACCCCGGAAUUCCCUCACUCUGAGCCAAGACCAGAGGGUCUUGUUGUUUUAAGUUGUGGUGAAAAAUAGACAUGACCUACAAUGGAGCAUUUUAGCCGUUUCUAAGCCUAGAGUUCAGCAGUAUUAGGUACGUUCACAUCCUCCUCGCCACAUUAACUUCCAUUCCAUUUUUUAAAUUUAAUUUUUUUUAAAUUUUAAAUACAUUUAAAAAUGUAUUUAUUGGGGAUCCCUGGGUGGCUCAGCGGUUUGGCACCUGCCUUUGGCCCAGGGCGCGAUCCUGGAGUCCCGGGAUCGAGUUCCGCGUAAGGCUCCCGGCAUGGAGCCGGCUUCUCCCUCCUCCUGUAUCUCUGCCUCUCUUUCUCUCUAUGUCUAUCAUAAAUAAA